CCAUAGCCCUGAUGGGAACGGCAUCCUUUUAUGGUGGGGUUCACCAUAAAAUAUAUAGUGGACAGCAGGAUUAGCU
rnacentral:sRNA from 1 species